AACGAACGCUGGCGGCAGGCUUAACACAUGCAAGUCGAGCGCCCUUUUCGGAGGGAGCGGCAGACGGGUGAGUAACGCGUGGGAAUCUACCUAUCUCUAGGGAAUAACUCAGGGAAACUUGUGCUAAUACCCUAUACGUCCGUAAGGAGAAAGAUUUAUCGGAGAUAGAUGAGCCCGCGUUGGAUUAGCUAGCUGGUGGGGUAAUGGCCCACCAAGGCGACGAUCCAUAGCUGGUCUGGGAGGAUGAUCAGCCACACUGGGACUGAGACACGGCCCAGACUCCUACGGGAGGCAGCAGUGGGGAAUAUUGGACAAUGGGCGCAAGCCUGAUCCAGCCAUGCCGCGUGAGUGAUGAAGGCCCUAGGGUUGUAAAGCUCUUUCACCGGUGAAGAUAAUGACGGUAACCGGAGAAGAAGCCCCGGCUAACUUCGUGCCAGCAGCAGCCGCAGUAAC
rnacentral:rRNA from 1 species